UAUGACUAUAUGUGACUAUAUAUAACUACAUGUGACUAACUAUAUGAGUAUAGUCAUGUAUAGUAUAAUUUGAAUUUAUAGCUUCAAAUCUCACUUUUCAACCCGACAACUCCGAUCUAUUGAAACUAGAACACUAAAAGCAGGCUCGGUUCGAUCCCAAACCAAAUAAAACGUAAAAUAAAAAAAGGAGAAAAUCCACCCCCUAUGAAACCCUUCCCCGUCGCCACACCUGGCCACCGCAAGCUCCUCGUCGACCGCUCAAAACUGUUGCACAUAAAAUACUAAUACUAUCAAAUUCAUUCGCCAUUAAAUCCAUAAAUAUUAAUAAUUAAAAGAAAUGUCAAGGCUCACAAUCCACUCUCUCCAACAC
rnacentral:lncRNA from 1 species